AAUGUAUAUCCUGUUGAAGCUCAAAAACAAAGAGGAAAAAGAGAGGAAGCAAGAGAAUGGUAAUUGGAGAUCUCAAGAGUGUAGAGAGAGAAACCCACUUUUGUGCUAAGAAUUGGAGAUGAGGUAGAGAGCUAAAGAAAGAAAAGCUAAGAAAGUGAAGGAUUGAAGAAUAAUUCACCAAAUUGAAGAUUAAAGGUGGGCAUCCGAGGCCUUGUAUUGACUUAACCCACUGUGAUUAAGCGCGUAACCAGGCUUAGAGGCGUCUGCUUGGAAUCAGUUUUUGACAGCCAACCUAUGUGCCUCCCGUGGAGGUUCCAAACAUGUCUAGUGGUUAUGGCUAAGUGUAUAAGUUAAAGUUUUGUUUUUCCGUUCAGUUAGACAAGUCUUUGUGUAUUUUGUAAAUAGGACUAAGUCUCUUUUUGUCUAGCUUAUUUAUAUGUUUAUAUAUGAUGAUGUGUAUAUGUAUGUAUAUUAAGUUUUAAAAUUUUUCUGUCUCA